CUAGGAAUUUUACACCUUCUAAUCAUCAGGUUUAGCAAAUUCCAAGACGGUGUUAAAAGGAGAAAUGAGAGAGGAAAAAUUCAAAAAAUCUCUCACAUUGUAGUUGUGGAGGAAGUAUGGAAGCAAGCAUUCAGAUGAAAGGAGCGCUUCAAUGCUGCUUGAACGGAAAGAAAAGUGUGAGGGAAAAAAACUGAGCUGUGGCUUGAGUCAUCUGGUUAAAGUGAGCUACCAAGAAAUGAGAGAAAGAAGAAAGAGUAAUAUGGAAAUGAUGAAUCCAAUUAUCUCCCUUACUUGAUCAGCGUGACUCUAGUCUAUUUGUGUCACGUGAUUAUCUAAAUAAUUGACUGGCUGAUUAGAAUAGAGAUAACAAAGUGAAUAAAACUAAUUUGUAUAUACUGCUUCGCUCAUGCAGUUUUUCCGAUGCGGAAUUUCAAUCAUAGGUUGGCAUAUUAAGUGAUUUUUUUUUCCUUCUAAUUUUUUGAACUUACGUGAAAAUUUUUGAACGAAAAGAACUGUAAUUUUACU